rnacentral:rRNA from 1 species
UACAGAGGUCUCAAGCGUUGUUCGGAUUCAUUGGGCGUAAAGGGUGCGUAGGUGGCGGGGUAAGUCAGGUGUGAAAAUUUCGGAGCUUAACUCCGAAACUGCAUUUGAUACUGCCUUGCUUGAGGACUGGAGAGGAGACUGGAAUUCACGGUGUAGCAGUGAAAUGCGUAGAUAUCGUGAGGAAGACCAGUGGCGAAGGCGGGUCUCUGGACAGGUUCC